rnacentral:rRNA from 1 species
GGCGCGAGCGCAUGGCCGUCGUUCUCGAAGCGCACCUGGUACGCGGCGGGCAGGCCGGCUUCGGACGCCGCGCAGCGCACGAGCGCGAUCUCGAUCGUGCGCGCGGCCGCGCGCGCCGCGAGCGGGCCGUUGAAAUCGUACGAGACGCGCACGGGAUCGGCCGCCCGCGCGGGCCAGCUCACGCGCACGCGAUCGCCGCCCGCCGCGCCGGCCGCGUUCGGCGCGACGACGCGCGCGCCCACCGUGCCGUUGCCCGCGAACGCGGCCUCGAUCGCGGCGCGGCACGCGCGCGCCUGCGGCGCGGCGGCGUUGCCGUCGAACGCGAGCUCGACGACGCCGAGCGAGCUGUGCUUGCCGAACGCGACGAGCAUCACGCUCAUCAGCAGGAUCGGAAAGACGAACGUCCAGAAGAGCCGCGCCUUGCUGCGCAACUGCCCGAGCAACUCGUUGCGGGUGAGAAUCAGAAAAACCUCAAGCAUCGGUCGCUCCUUCGGUGCAUGCGCGCAGCAGGUCGCCUUCGUCGGUCGGCGCGAAUUCGAAAUGCCGGAUGCCCGCCUGCUCCAUCAGCGUGCGCAGCGCGGCGUCGAGCCCCGCGCGGCCGAACGCGCCGAUCUGCCGCGGCGCGGGCGCGACGAUCCGCUGCACGUGCGCGUCCCGCGCGAGCACCGCGCGCACGCGUUCGGCCUGCGCGUCGUCGUCGACGUGAAUCAGCGCGCGGAACUCGCCGACGAGACGGCGCUUGAGCGCGUCCUUGCCGCCCUGGUAGCGCAGCGUGCCGUCGCGCACCCACAGCACGUCGUCGGCGAUCGCGAGCUCUUCGCCCGCGUGGCAGAUCAUCGCGAUCGUGAUGCCCGCGAGCGGGCCGCGCAGCAGGCCGAGCACGCUGCGCGUCAUCGUGCGGUCGAGGCCGGUGAACGGUUCGUCGAGCGCGACGAGCGCCGGGCGAUGCGCGAACGCGAUGAACAGGUCGAGCCGCUGCCGCUGCCCCUUCGACAGCCCGCUGUACGGCUUCGCGCGCAGCUCGUCGAUCGCGAGCGCGCGGGCCACCGCGGCGUCCUGUUUGCGGUACAGCGCGCGGUGCACGGCGAGGAUCUCGUCGACACGCGCGUGCUCCGCGUAUUCGACGCGCUGCAAUUGCGCGCCGAAGCGCCGCAGCGCGCGCGUGUCGCGCAUGAAUCGCGCGGCGGGCACACCGAGGAUCGUCGCGCCCUCGAGCUGCGCGCGGCGAAAGCCGAACAGCGCCUCGAGCAGCGUGCUCUUGCCGGAGCCGUUCGGGCCGACGAUCGCGGUCAGCGCGCCGGUGCGAAACGCGAUGUCGGUGGCGUGGAACGUGAAGUCGCCCGCCUUCACGUCGAUGCGGCGCGCGGCGAGCGCGCUCGCCGCGCGGCCCGGCGUCGCGCCG